ACCCUUUAAUGUUUGAUGUUCUAACGUGGACCCGUAAUCCGGGUUGCGGACAGUGUCUGGUGGGUAGUUUGACUGGGGCGGUCUCCUCCUAAAGAGUAACGGAGGAGCACGAAGGUUGGCUAAUCCUGGUCGGACAUCAGGAGGUUAGUGCAAUGGCAUAAGCCAGCUUGACUGCGAGCGUGACGGCGCGAGCAGGUGCGAAAGCAGGUCAUAGUGAUCCGGUGGUUCUGAAUGGAAGGGCCAUCGCUCAACGGAUAAAAGGUACUCCGGGGAUAACAGGCUGAUACCGCCCAAGAGUUCAUAUCGACGGCGGUGUUUGGCACCUCGAUGUCGGCUCAUCACAUCCUGGGGCUGAAGUAGGUCCCAAGGGUAUGGCUGUUCGCCAUUUAAAGUGGUACGCGAGCUGGGUUUAGAACGUCGUGAGACAGUUCGGUCCCUAUCUGCCGUGGGCGCUGGAGAACUGAGGGGGGCUGCUCCUAGUACGAGAGGACCGGAGUGGACGCAUCACUGGUGUUCGGGUUGUCAUGCCAAUGGCACUGCCCGGUAGCUAAAUGCGGAAGAGAUAAGUGCUGAAAGCAUCUAAGCACGAAACUUGCCCCGAGAUGAGUUCUCCCUGAGACUUAGAGUCUCCUGAAGGAAC
rnacentral:rRNA from 1 species